ensembl:lncRNA
GAAAGAUGCAGAACUGAGAUGGGUAAAAGAGGAACUCGAGAAACUCCUUCAAGAGAAGAAAACUCACCUUAUGUUGUUAGAGGAAGAAAAGCAGCGAUCACGCAUACAGGUGAGGAGGAGAACAGUGCAAUAAAGAGCUGCUCUGUGAUGCAGAAAUCAGUAUAUUUUAUUUACGGGGAAAAAAUUAAAAGAUGAAUUUAAUGCAUGUCUGCUGUGUUAUCAUUUGUUCUUUAAAUGUGCGCCUCUGUGCAAAUGUUUAGACAGAACAACUGGUGAACCAGCAGAUAAUGAUUGAUCGCCUUCGUGGCGAACUCAUGACCUUUCGGGGGACAGCCUCAGGGGCAACAGUGGAAGUGGGGGGGUCUGAGUACUCAGGCAAGAGACCCCCCAGUGUCCCUCUGAUCACACACAGCUGCAUGUGGAGGCCUCCCAGGAAGUGUGCCUAUAGACUGGAGAGGGUAAUGGCAGCUUUUAAAAUCCAUGGCCAACUCGUGCUGGCUGAAAUCGAGGAAAAAGAUGACGUGUACUGCCCGCUCUUAAGUGGGUCUGGGUGAGUGAAGCUUUUUGUUAGUGUAAAGCUUUUUAAUGACAUAUUUAAUCCAUGAUAUAUCUUAUAUAGCAUGUCUCAGUUUUUCUACAUGAAGAAAAAUAUAGAAAAGGUUCUGGUAGACAGGUGAUGUAUUUAUGGAGAUGUCAGGAACAGUUUCUGUAGUAGACCUCCUGAUAUCCAUAAAUAAUUGUGUCCUUUCUGCAAUUUUCUGUUUCACAGGGAAACAAGAAAGGCAAGUAAGGAUCAGAGGCAGAUGGAAAAUGCCUGAAAAC